AGGAGAGGGAGAAUCCAGACCCGGUGCCAGGAACCAGCAGGGUGGGGAGACACCACCGACAGAGUCAUCAGGAAGAGACGAGUGGGCGGGGGAGGGGGAGGCUGGCAGGGCUGGCGUUUCCCAGGCCCUACAGCAGGGGCUCUCUGUGGAAGCUGGGGCUACGGUGGGGUCAGGGCCUGGGGGCUGGCACUUCGGGGACCUGGUCCUUGGAGGGCGGUUCGGCAAAUGGGAGCCCAGAUGCCGGGGGGAGGGCUGGAGACCUAAGUCCGCUGGAGCGCUGGGCCUUACAAGACACACCCUGGGUUCCUUCUCGAUUUGAUAUUUGCAAGGCGAAGGGCGUAUCUGACGACGGAUGGUAACCUCCUCUCUCCCCUCCAGGUCGGACCUGGGCCAGGGGUGCCACCCAGCCUGGGGCUCCGGCCUCCCGCUGUCCCUCCUCGCAAGACCAGGCGGCCCCCGCACCCUCCUCCACCCCACCAGCUUCCCGCAGCAGACCUGGGGCCGGCCAGCCGUGAGAGGGUGGCCGUCUUCCUGUGGAUAGGCAGCCCUGUCCUCUUCCGGACCCCGGUUCUUCCAGAAAAGGCCUCCGGAUCGCUGGGGCGGCAGUCCAAGGCUCUGGGAAGCCAAGCCAGGGGGUGCCGAGCGGCGGACCACUCUGGAACACCUAAGGGAACAAGGGAGGCUUGGGGCUGGCUCACCCCUCGCAGCAUCCGCUCGCUCCAGGGAUUCAGGGGUCCCGUCUUUCCGUGGGACCCUCCGGCCACGUGCUCUCCUAGCCGUUUCCGCUGAGGAGGUAGUGAGAUCUCUGCUUUGCGAGACUGGAGACUGCAGUUGUUUGAGCCUCGGAUCUCAGGCCAAAUCUCAAACGUCUACGCCCAGCAACCAGAGAACACCGCAUUCAGCUGUUACAGAGGAAGGCCCCAGCGGCUCCGCUGAUGUGACAGGCAGGUUCCGGCUGGUCAGUGCAAGGGCCCAGCGGAGCAGAGCCUCCGUUCACUCCUGCUUUGUCUCCCCUAACUCAGAUAAACUGCUAUCCUUCUAAGUAGCAAGGGGUGUGCAGAGGGGUUUGAGAACAGGGCCCAGCACUUCCAAAGUCCCCAGACUACAUGCAGACUGGCCUCCUGCUCUCCAGGGGAGUGUCCUAGGGGUUGGCCUGGAUUCUCUCUCUUCUCGUCUCCACCUCUCCUUAUGGGAUCUCCCCCAGGCCCAUGACUUUAAAUACUACCAAUGUGCUAAGGACUCCCAAAUCCCUAUCCUCCCCUGGACUCCACACAUGGAGUCCACAUCUCCUCCCCAGCCUUCCCCACCUCCCGGGAAGGCACCCCAAAUGCCCAGUUGCUAGAACCCACAAACCUGGUAUGCCUCACUUUCCCUCAACUCCCACAUCCAGUCUGUCAGCAAGUUGUGUCAGCGCUACAUCGAAAAUAUACCCAGGUUUUACUUAAAAUGAAAAAGUUAAAAAAUAAAGGUUCACUUAAACUAAAAAAAGGCGGGGGGCGCUUGGCUGGCUCACUAGGGAGAGCAUGCCACCCUUGAUCUCAGGGUUGUGAGUUCAAGCCCCAUGUUGGGCAGUGUGGAGCUACUUGUAUUAAAAAAAAAAAAAAAUUUUUUUUUUUGAUUUUUAAAAAAAGUUUCACUUAAAUUUUAAAAAGAUAAAAAAUAAAAUAAAAUACACCCGAUUUGACCACUCCUCAGCCUUUCCACUUCCACCGCCACUCUUCGGCUCAUCUACCCCGGCCCAGACUACUGCAGUGGGUUCCUCCCGCUCUCCCUGCUUCCCUCCUAACUCCCCAAUCAUCUCUUCUGCCCGGAGCAGAGUGAGUUACCCUUUAAACAUGGUUGUGUGAAAUGACAGACAGAUUGAGAUUUACUUCAAAAUAAUCUGAGGAGGAGGAGGAGGCUGGGCGGUCGCACAGAUGAAAUGAUCGUCCCUGGAAUGAUAAUUUUUGAAGAUGCCGGCAAGGGCACACUGGCUUCGUGAUGGGUAUUUUCUCUACUUCGGUAUUUGUUUGACAUUUUUCACAAUAAAGAAAUUGGGGAGAAAGAAAAACGUCUGCUCACGCCAUUUCCCUGCUGAAAACCUUCCACUGAUCCCCACUGCCCUUAGGAUAAAAUCCAAACCCUUUUCAAUGGCUUGUAGUCCGACUUUACUCUCUACGUUUCCCUUGGGCGUGAAGGUUCAGUGUCACUGGCCUGCUUCCUGGUCCUACAAGAUACUGCGCUUAUUUCUUUGUUGGGGCUUACCACCCCCUCACACGCCCCCACCCCAACCCGGGCUGUUAUCAGACCGGCUGCUUCUCAAUCUUCCAGAUCUCAAUUCAAACUCACCUCCCCAGAAUGGUCUUCCACAAUCACCCUAUCCAAACUUGUGUCUCCAGAACAUUCUAUUUUGCAUUACAUUACGCUCGUCUUUUAUUUUUCUAUGAUACUUCUAACUGAAAUUGUAUUUACGUUUGGACCGUCUGUCUCCUCCCUCCAGAAAAUAAGUUCUGUUUGUCUUUAUCCCUUAUCUAACUGUUGAAUCCUCGGUGCCCAAUAUCACGUCCAGAACGCUGUAGUUUUGCACAAAAACUAUUUGCGGAACAACUUAACGAAUCAUUGGUCCUCUGAGACCAGGCACUGAGCUUCUUGUUCCUUAUUUGCUACUCCUGUCGGGGAAGAAGCCAGGCGUGCA